rnacentral:rRNA from 1 species
UACGUAGGGGGCGAGCGUUGUCCGGAUUCAUUGGGCGUAAAGAGCUCGUAGGCGGCUUGUCAAGUCGGGUGUGAAACCUCCAGGCUCAACCUGGAGACGCCACUCGAGACUGUCAUGGCUAGAGUCCGGUAGGGGAUCACGGAAUUCCUGGUGUAGCGGUGAAAUGCGCAGAUAUCAGGAGGAACACCGAUGGCGAAGGCAGUGAUCUGGCCGGUCACUGACGCUGGAGGAGCGAAAGCGUGGGUAGCAAACAGG